rnacentral:rRNA from 1 species
CAGUCGCCACGGGAAUACGAAGGGGGCUAGCGUUGUUCGGAAUUACUGGGCGUAAAGCGCACGUAGGCGGAUAUUUAAGUCAGGGGUGAAAUCCCGCAGCUCAACUGCGGAACUGCCUUUGAUACUGGGUGUCUUGAGUGUGAUAGAGGUAUGUGGAACUCCGAGUGUAGAGGUGAAAUUCGUAGAUAUUCGGAAGAACACCAGUGGCGAAGGCGACUAUCUGGGCCAACACUGACACUGAGGCACGAAAGCGUGGGGAGCAAACAGGAUUAGAGACCCCGGUAGUCCCUGUCUCUUAUAC